CAGGCCUAACACAUGCAAGUCGAACGGACUGAUUUCCUUCGGGAAUGAAAGUCAGUGGCGGACGGGUGAGUAACGCGUGAGUAACCUGCCUUUCAGAGGGGGAUAACGUUUGGAAACGAACGCUAAUACCGCAUAACGUACAGUUGUCGCAUGGCAGCAGUACCAAAGGAGCAAUCCGCUGGAAGAUGGACUCGCGUCUGAUUAGAUAGUAGGCGGGGUAACGGCCCACCUAGUCGACGAUCAGUAGCCGGACUGAGAGGUUGAACGGCCACAUUGGAACUGAGACACGGCCCAGACUCCUACGGGAGGCAGCAGUGAGGAAUAUUGGUCAAUGGGCGCGAGCCUGAACCAGCCAAGUAGCGUGAAGGAAGACUGCCCUAUGGGUUGUAAACUUCUUUUGUUUGGGAAUAAAGUGGGCCACGUGUGGCCUUUUGUAUGUACCAUACGAAUAAGCAUCGGCUAAUUCCGUGCCAGCAGCCGCGGUAAUACGGAAGAUGCGUGCGUUAUCCGGAUUUAUUGGGUUUAAAGGGAGCGUAGGCGGCCCGUUAAGUCAGCGGUUAAAUGUCAGUGCCCAACAUUGGCAUGCCGUUGAUACUGGUGGGCUUGAAUACACACAAGGAUGGUGGAAUUCGUCGUGUAGCGGUGAAAUGCUUAGAUAUGACGAAGAACUCCGAUUGCGAAGGCAGCCAUCUGGGGUGCGAUUGACGCUGAGGCUCGAAAGUGCGGGAAUCAAACAGGAUUAGAUACCCUGGUAGUCCGCACCGUAAACGAUGAAUGCUCGUUCUGGGCGAUACACUGUCCGGGACCUAGGGAAACCAUUAAGCAUUCCACCUGGGGAGUACGCCGGCAACGGUGAAACUCAAAGGAAUUGACGGGSSCGCMAAGCGGAGGAACAUGUGGUUUAAUUCGAUGAUACGCGAGGAACCUUACCCGGGCUUGAACUGCUGAGGAAGGAUACAGAGAUGUAGCCGCCCUUCGGGGCCUCAGUGGAGGUGCUGCAUGGUUGUCGUCAGCUCGUGCCGUGAGGUGUCGGCUUAAGUGCCAUAACGAGCGCAACCCUUGCCGUCAGUUGCCAUCACGUAUUGGUGGGCACUCUGAUGGGACUGCCAUCGCAAGAUGUGAGGAAGGUGGGGAUGACGUCAAAUCAGCACGGCCCUUACGUCCGGGGCUACACACGUGUUACAAUGGGGGGGCACAGCGCGCCGCUACCUGGUGACAGGAUGCGAAUCGUGAAAUCCCCUCUCAGUUCGGACUGGAGUCUGCAACCCGACUCCACGAAGCUGGAUUCGCUAGUAAUCGCGCAUCAGCCAUGGCGCGGUGAAUACGUUCCCSG
rnacentral:rRNA from 1 species